rnacentral:rRNA from 1 species
CGGGACGGGUGGGUAAUGUCUGGGAAACGUGCCUGAUGAGGGGGAGUAACUACUGGAAACGGUAGCUAAUACCGCAUAACGUCGCAAGACCAAAGAGGGGGACCGUUCGGGCCUCUUGCCAUCGGAUGUGCCCAGAUGGGAUUAGCUAGUAGGUGGGGUAACGGCUCACCUAGGCGACGAUCCCUAGCUGGUCUGAGAGGAUGACCAGCCACACUGGAACUGAGACACGGUCCAG